CCUCUUCAAUGGCUGUGCGAAGUUGCUGGAUAUUGGCAGGAACUGGAACACGCUGUCGUAUACGCCGACCCAGAGCAGCCCAAACAUGCUCAAUAGGUGACAUGUCCGGUGAGCAUGCUGGCCAUGAAU